rfam:Ictidomys tridecemlineatus contig025106, whole genome shotgun sequence.
AGGGUUGUGGCUCAGUGGUAGAGCACUUGCCUAGCAUGCAUGAGGCACUGGGUUCUGGGUUCAAUCCUCAGCACCACAU